rnacentral:tRNA from 1 species
CAAGAUAUAUCUUAUUAGUAAAGUAUUUCAUUUACACUGAAAUUUAUUCUGUGCAAUUCAGGAUUUCUUGA